rnacentral:rRNA from 1 species
UUCUUGGUCAUUUAGAGGAAGUAAAAGUCGUAACAAGGUUUCCGUAGGUGAACCUGCGGAAGGAUCAUUAAAGAAAUUUAAUAAUUUUGAAAAUGGAUUUUUUUGUUUUGGCAAGAGCAUGAGAGCUUUUACUGGGCAAGAAGACAAGAGAUGGAGAGUCCAGCCGGGCCUGCGCUUAAGUGCGCGGUCGUGCUAGGCUUGUAAGUUUCUUUCUUGCUAUUCCAAACGGUGAGAGAUUUCUGUGCUUUUGUUAUAGGACAAUUAAAACCGUUUCAAUACAACACACUGUGGAGUUUUCAUAUCUUUGCAACUUUUUCUUUGGGCAUUCGAGCAAUCGGGGCCCAGAGGUAACAAACACAAACAAUUUUAUCUAUUCAUUAAAUUUUUGUCAAAAACAAGAAUUUUCGUAACUGGAAAUUUUAAAAUAUUAAAAACUUUCAACAACGGAUCUCUUGGUUCUCGCAUCGAUGAAGAACGCAGCGAAAUGCGAUACGUAAUGUGAAUUGCAGAAUUCCGUGAAUCAUCGAAUCUUUGAACGCACAUUGCGCCCCUUGGUAUUCCAGGGGGCAUGCCUGUUUGAGCGUCAUUUCCUUCUCAAACAUUCUGUUUGGUAGUGAGUGAUACUCUUUGGAGUUAACUUGAAAUUGCUGGCCUUUUCAUUGGAUGUUUUUUUUCCAAAGAGAGGUUUCUCUGCGUGCUUGAGGUAUAAUGCAAGUACGGUCGUUUUAGGUUUUACCAACUGCGGCUAAUCUUUUUUUAUACUGAGCGUAUUGGAACGUUAUCGAUAAGAAGAGAGCGUCUAGGCGAACAAUGUUCUUAAAGUUUGACCUCAAAUCAGGUAGGAGUACCCGCUGAACUUAAGCAUAUCAAUAAGCGGAGGAA